AUUGAACGCUGCCGCAAUGCUUUACACAUGCAAGUCGAACGGCAGCACGGACUUCGGUCUGGUGGCGAGUGGCGAACGGGUGAGUAACAUAUCGGAACGUAUCCAAUAAUGGGGGAUAACGAGUCGAAAGAUUCGCUAAUACCGCAUACGCCCUACGGGGGAAAGCUGGGGACCUUCGGGCCUGGCGUUAAUGGAGCGGCCGAUAUCUGAUUAGCUAGUUGGUGAGGUAAAGGUUCACCAAGGCGACGAUCAGUAGCUGGUCUGAGAGGACGACGAGCCACACUGGAACUGCGACACGGUCCAGACGCCGACGGGAGGCAGCAGUGGGGAAUUUUGGACAAUGGGCGCAAGCCUGAUCCAGCCAGUCCGCGUGAGUGAAGAAGGCCUUCGAGUUGUAAAGCUCUUUCGCAAGGGAAGAAAACUUAGCCACUAACAUUGGUUGAGGUUGACGGUACCUUGAUAAGAAGCACCGGCUAACUACGUGCCAGCAGCCGCAGUAA
rnacentral:rRNA from 1 species